CUUUUAAUGUUUUUGUUUUCUGAUUUCUAUUUUCUUAUUUAUUUUAUUUGAUCAUUCUUUAUUUUGUUUUCUUUUCCGCAUAUCCGGAACUUUGCACCGCGGGGACGGAGCGGAGGGGCCAAGAACAAGGAAUGCCUCAUCGCGCUGGGCUGCUGCAGCCUGGAGCCGCUGUCAUUAAACACCGGCUGUUGUUAAUGAAGGUGGCCGCGCGCAUCCACCUGCGCUGAGCUGCGGAGGUGGGGGGAGGAGGGGGGGAUGUCCCGGCAGGACCCCCCUCUGUCGGGGUUUGCGGCAGAGAUGGGGGCGAGAGCUGGGGAUGCGCUCAGAGCUGGCGGGUACUGCUGCCAAAAGGAGGGAGCAAAUGAAAGGAAAACUUCCCUGCUCCUCUGCCUCCCGCUUAUUCAUUUAUUUUAACCUUCGGUGGGGAAAAAAUCACAGAGCUUUUUUGCAUCCAAACACUUAUUGUUGGGUUUGAAGCCUUGGAAGUUCCGCCAAAGCGGCUGCCCGGGGUCUGGGAAAUGGCAGUUGACAAUUAAAAGACGCGUGUAAUAAAUGAUAGGUAAUGAAGUCAUCCCAAAAUAACUGUGUGUCAGAGAUGGGAGUUUCUGGUUUUACCUGUGGCUUUGCAGAGAUUUCUGCACAGAACGAUCAGAGCCUCAAUAAAUUAAUUUUGAAAUGCUAAUUGGCAAUAUGGAAGAAUAUCGAUUUUUAAGGUGAACUUUGUUGUUUUGUGUUCAAAUGCAUUUGCUCCAAGACCAGAACUCUGUCUGCUUUCACCCAGGCUUCUUUUCUUGCCAUAUUCCUAUACCCUAUGGGGGAGAAAGAGAUCCCCUUGAAUUGCUGCAGAGGGUGACAGUGAUUUCUGAAGAAUCCUCCAAAGAGUGAGCAAAGAGCACUGAAAACAGAUGCAGAAAGCUAUUUGCAUGGAAUUACCAUUGGAACAGUACAGUUGGAAGGAACCCACAAAGAUCAUCGUGUCCCUGCUGCCUGACUGCUGGAGGGCUAACCAAAAGUGAAAGCACGUCAUUAGUAAGGGCAUUAUCCAAACUUCUUGAAUGCAGAAGCCUUGUAAGAUUGAACAGCCCCAAGUGUCUCAGCCUUUCUUAUAAGGGAGAUGCUCCAGACUCCUCGUCAUCUGUGUGGCUCUCUACUGGACUCUCUCCAGCAGUUCCCUGUCUUCCUUGAACUGGGAGCUCAAAAGCUGUUGUUUUCAAGAAAUUAAUGAGUUUGAAAAUGAAAAUAAAUUCCUCACUGAAUAUUUGUUACACUGUUGUCAGUUUUUCAGAAGCUUCAAUGUUCAGAUUCUUUAACAGUAGGGGAAAUCUUCAAAAAGCAAAUAGGUUUUUUAAAAGACAGAUAUAUUUGGAAAAUUUAUGUCUUAUUUUUUCUUUUUCUUUUUCUUUUUUUUCCCUUUUUUUCUUUUCUUGUAGUGCCAUGGGAAAUAGCGGGAGGCAAUAUGAGAUGUUUUAGCUAUAAAUGUCUGUCUUAUGAACAUCUUACUGAAGAUGCUAUGAGCUUCUUAGACAUAUAGACUAAGAAGUGCCAUCCAGAGGAGGUCCAUGUGCAAAAUUUAGCAUUCUAAUUUCUGAUCUACAUGUAAAUAUUCCCUGGAAAAUGUAUAUACAUUACAAUAAUUUGUAAAAGCAGGCUUGUUGUGUGUGGCAGAUUUACUGUGGAUACUACUGUUUCUCUGAAAUAGUGCUACAACUGAAAACGCAACAUCAAAAUUGAAGCAGAAGACGGCUAGCAUUUGGGUCCCAAACUGAUUUGAAAGUGUCACAUGGUCUGGAAUGUCUUUUUCAGUGUUUUUUGUUUUUUUUUUCCACUGUGCUACUGGAUCUUCUAGUACAGCAGCAAACUGAUCUACUUGCGCGAAUAGUUUCAAAGUCACAGGGUUUUAGAAAGCACCAAUGAUACCUAGUAUUGUUGCUGUAAUUUCAGAAAUGUUAUAAGUCAGGGUUUUUCUUCAUCAUUAAAACAUGUUAUGUUGUUAAGUUAGAAGAAUACUACAGGAUGUGGAUCCUGUUGUUUGGAAAACAAGGAAUUGAGGUGUGAGAAAUUAAUGGAAAUUCACAUUUACAGGAAAAAAAAAAAAGCCUAGUUUCUGGAAUGGUACUGGAAAUUGUUUGCUGAAUGGUUGUUAAGAAGUUUAAUGUUUCCUGUAUGUUAGUCUGUCUUUAGACCUGAAAAUAAUGUUGUCUGCUUUUUUAUUUAUAUGUGACAAGACUUAGAAGUAUCUUUGAUUCAUGAGCAGAAACAGCAGAAAGAAGAUGAUAAAGAAUAACUCUGGUUAUAAAUUAAAGUUAAUAGACUUUUUUUUUCUUUUAAACCCACACCUUUUGUUAACAGAAUUUUUUCUGCAUUGUUACUGAUGCCUUCAUGCCUGAGAAGUUUUAUUUGCCUGUGUGCAAAUGGAGCAACUGUAUGAAAUUAAAGUAAAAUGCUGCUCUAACUUAGCUGUUAGGUUGCAAAGUUAGCACACUGAUUUUUUUCUUCUGGUACAUGUUCUUUUUAUAAAGGAACUUUAUCUUGUGGCUAUUGAUAUAUUGCAGAUGUAAAUUUUAUUAGACAGUAUAGGAAGAAAAUAAUAGAAUCUAUGAACAGGCAGUCACUAUCAGCAAAUUCUAUUAGCAAACAGAUAAAUUUCAAGCCAGCUUAUUGUUUUUUAGAGAGGUUUUGAUUAUUUCAGGAGACCAAAAUUGACUUAGGUAAGAUUAUCCUCAUCACUUAGAUUGAAAGAGAGUACUUUGCACUGACUAGAAAAGGAUGUAAAGUUUUACGUAUGUGUUUUUGUAUGUGUCCUGAUUCACAAGCAAAACAAUGAGCACUAGGCACAAUAAGAUGUAAAUAACCCUGUCAGGUCUUGGUGGCAAGUGUCAGUCUUCUCCUAGAGCUGGGUAGUGCACACACCCUCCACAGCACUAUUUAAUGUCACAGUCAAGACACCUCCAGAUGCCAGUAAAAUGUCAGGACGUCUUAGUCCUUUUAGGAAAACUAAUUUAUUGAACACUGCUGUAGGACAAUAUAUAGGAAAUAUAUGCCAGGAAAUAACUGGUACUGGAAACAGACAAAAGCAGUGAGAAAAGGUAAAGGAGGUGGAUGUUGACACAGGUUCCCGGUAUAGACUAGAUAGAUGAGAGUUAUAAACUGGAGGCAGUAUCACUAUCUCACCUGUGCUGCCACUGCAGCUAGUUAAUGAGGUAAUUUCAUAUAUUCUUUGAAUGCAAAACAGAAUAGAAGCAUUACUGUUGAAUUUUCUUUAAGGCUCAGGCACCUGCUCAGUGCUUUGUGCAUGCUGCUGCCAACAGUUUACAUUAUAGAAGUACCACUGUUUUGAUCAAUUGCUUGUUGUCCUAAUAAGGGUGCGUACAACCUCUGCUUUGCAAGAGUACUACAAAAUAAACAGUUUUUUGAAUCCAACAAAUCUCAGUUUUAAAAGCUUUUGUAAAUCAAUUUGGUUAUGUCAUAUAGUUUCAUUGGAAAAUGUGAAAACAACACUUGUUACAGUGAGCUAAGCUUGCAAAGGGCAGCAUGCUAUUAUUUUUACAGGCCAAUACUUUCCAUUUUCAGUUCCUGGGGCUCGCAAUUGGGUUUGAAUGACAAAUAUUUUGCACAUGACCGUGUAGGUGCAUAAGUGUUCAGCUACAGGCGUAGGGCCCCAGGGACACACACAGUCCUGCAGGGCUCUUGAAUGUCCCUGCAACCUUUGACUGAAGGCUUCAUUUGCCCAGUUCCAAGUUUCUGGUGCCUGACUGAGCCCUGAUACUGUGGUACUGGCCCCUAGUCCUGUUCCCGGUUAUUCACUGAGUUUCCUGAGUGGACUUUGGCCAUGACUUGUCACCUACCAGUUCUGCUUGCCUGCCACUAGGUCAGUGACAUCACC
rnacentral:lncRNA from 1 species